rnacentral:rRNA from 1 species
UGGGGAAUUUUGGACAAUGGGCGAAAGCCUGAUCCAGCAAUGCCGCGUGUGUGAAGAAGGCCUUCGGGUUGUAAAGCACUUUUGUCCGGAAAGAAAUCCUUGGCUCUAAUACAGUCGGGGGAUGACGGUACCGGAAGAAUAAGCACCGGCUAACUACGUGCCAGCAGCCGCGGUAAUACGUAGGGUGCAAGCGUUAAUCGGAAUUACUGGGCGUAAAGCGUGCGCAGGCGGUUUGCUAAGACCGAUGUGAGAUCCCCCGGGGCUCAACCUGGGAACUGCAUUGGGUGACUGGCAGGCUAGAGUAUGGCAGAGGGGGGUAGAAUUCCACUGUAGCAGUGAAAUGCGUAGAGAUGUGGAGGAAUACCGAUGGCGAAGGCAGCCCCCUGGGGCCAAAUACUGACGCUCAUGCACGAAAAGCGUGGGGAGCAAAACAGGAUUAGAUACCCUGGUAGUCCACGCCCUAAACGAUGUCAACUAGUUGUUGGGGAUUCAUUUCCUUAGUAACGUAGCUAACGCGUGAAGUUGACCGCCUGGGGAGUACGGUCGCAAGAUUAAAACUUAAAUGAAUUGACGGGGUCAUAGCUGUUUCCU